ACCUAAUUAGUUUAACAAAAAUAUUAAGUUGUGGAUUUAAAGACAUAAAUAUUAUAUUAGGUC
rnacentral:tRNA from 1 species